CCUACGGGUGGCAGCAGUCGAGAAUCAUUCACAAUGGGGGAAACCCUGAUGGUGCGACGCCGCGUGGGGGAAUGAAGGUCUUCGGAUUGUAAACCCAUGUCAUGUGGGAGCAAAUUAAAAAGAUAGUACCACAAGAGGAAGAGACGGCUAACUCUGUGCCAGCAGCCGCGGUAAUACAGAGGUCUCAAGCGUUGUUCGGAAUCACUGGGCGUAAGGCGUGCGUAGGCUGUUUCGUAGGUCGUGUGUGAAAGGCGCGGGCUCAACCCGCGGACGGCACAUGAUACUGCGAGACUAGAGUAAUGGAGGGGGAACCGGAAUUCUCGGUGUAGCAGUGAAAUGCGUAGAUAUCGAGAGGAACACUCGUGGCGAAGGCGGGUUCCUGGACAUUAACUGACGCUGAGGCACGAAGGCCAGGGGAGCGAAAGGGAUUAGAUACCCGGGUAGUC
rnacentral:rRNA from 1 species